CGUGGCCACACCCAUCGCCUCUCUCUCUCUCUCUCUCUCUCUACAACAACGGGUGUUUUCUAUUUGUGUCUCAGAAGUUUAGAAACAGAACCACUUCUGCAGCCCAAUAAUGUGAGGAACAAUCUAAGAAAUCGAUCCAAGCUAUAUGCCUCUCACGUGUUUGACAUUUGGCUUCUGAGGGAAGUCUUUUUUCGGCCUAUGGAUUUUGUGAAAUGGUCUUGCCACCAAAAUCUGAUUGGAGACGUUCAGCCCCUGUGGGUAUGUUGAUAUCAGUUGAAGAGGGAACCUCGCCCCCUUCAGGAAGACUAUCUGCACUUUGGGUUUUAUUCCAAAAGAAUCUCAAACCUGUCAUUCUCUGGUCUAAUUACCAUAUAUGUUUUGCCACUAUGCAAAUCUUGAACAUCUGAGAUACGCAAAAGAACAUUAUUUACAAUAAUGUAAUUCCAAUGACCUCGUUUACAUUUCUAUUCAUGGAUUUUUGAUGAGGCAA